rnacentral:lncRNA from 1 species
CCUAUGAUUGCGUUGAAUAAAAACCGCAAUUUUAAUACGUGUGCAUGUAAAACAAAUUUCGUUGCAGAAGGGUCUAAAAACAGCACAAACAACAUUUUCCAAAAGACAAAAAAAGUACAAAAGUAUAUUUAAACAAAACGCAUUUGACUAACAGGUCGACUAAACUGAUGUUCUUUAACCCUGCUGACUGCCAUUGGCGAUUGUCAAAUAAAAUUGAUCACAAGAUGUAACAAAAAUGGAUCUAAAUAAAUAAAUUUAAUACUAAACAGAAAAAAAAAUUAACUUGUGGCCACGAUGUUUUGCCACAAACAUACGGUGUCAAUAUUUUUUAAGUACACCAGAUCCGGAUUUCGACAAUAUAAUGUCUCUUCAGUGAUGUUAGGGAUCGAAACGGUAUUUGGAAAGGCCAUUAUAAAAAGUAUCCUCAUUUUUUUAGAAAAAGUACCCUCAUUUUUAGAUAGACUCUUCAAUUUUAAGAGUCAAUAUAGGAUGAACGGAUCAUAUAAACCGGAGGGAAAAUAUGAUACAAGCCCAAACGAAAAAAUAUAAACGAGUCUUAAUUGAAAACUACGUUCAAACCUAUGAUUGCGUUGGAUAAAAACAACAAUUUUUAUACGCGUGCAUGUAAAACAAAUUUCGUUGUAGAAGGGUCUAAAAACAGCACAAACAACAUUUUCCAAAAGACCAAAAAACUGAAAAAGUAUAUUUAAACAAAACGCAUUUGACUAACAGGUCGAACAACUGAUGUCUUUAACCCUGCUGACUGCCAUUGGCGAUUGCAAAUAAAAUUGAUCACAAGAUUAUAACAAAAUGGAUCUAAAUAUAAAUUUAAUACUAAACAGAAAAAAAAAUUAACUUGUGGCCACGAUGUUAUGCCACAAACAUACGGUGUCAAUAUUUUUUAAGUACACCAGAUCCGGAUUUCGACAAUAAAUGUCUCUCUUCAGUGAUGUUAGGGAUCGAAACGGUAUUUGGAAGGCCAUAUAAAAGUACCCUCAGAAAAGUACCUCAUUUUUAGAUAGACUCUUCAAUUUUAAGAGUCAAUAUAGGAUGAACGGAUCAUAUAAACCGGAGGGAAAAUAUGAUACAAGCCCAAACGAAAAAAUAUAAACGAGUCUUAAGUUGAAAACUACGUUCAAACCUAUGAUUGCGUUGGAUAAAAAACCGCAAUUUUUAUACGCGUGCAUGUAAAACAAAUUUCGUUGUAGAAGGUCUAAAAACAGCACAAACAACAUUUUCCAAAAGACAAAAAAGUGAAAAAGUAUAUUUAAACAAAACGCAUUUGACUAACAGGUCGAACAACUGAUGUUCUUUAACCCUGCUGACUGCCAUUGGCGAUUGCCAAAUAAAAUUGAUCACAAGAUGUAACAAAAUGGAUCUAAAUAUAAAUU